UAUCAAUAAGCGGAGGAAAAGAAACUAACAAGGAUUCCCCUAGUAACUGCGAGUGAAGCGGGAAAAGCUCAAAUUUAAAAUCUGGCGGCCUCUGGCCACCCGAGUUGUAAUUUAGAGAAGCGUCUUCCGCGCUGGACCAUGCACAAGUCUCCUGGAAUGGAGCGUCAUAGAGGGUGAGAAUCCCGUCUUUGGCAUGGAUGUACCAGGGCUUUUGUGAUGCGCUCUCAAAGAGUCGAGUUGUUUGGGAAUGCAGCUCAAAAUGGGUGGUGAACUCCAUCUAAAGCUAAAUAUUGGCGAGAGACCGAUAGCGAACAAGUACCGUGAGGGAAAGAUGAAAAGCACUUUGGAAAGAGAGUGAAACAGUACGUGAAAUUGUUGAAAGGGAAACGCUUGAAGUCAGUCGCGUCGACCGAGACUCAGCCUCGCCUUGGCUUGGUGUACUUCUCGGCCGACGGGUCAGCGUCAAUUUUGCCCCUCGGAUAAUGGCAAGGGAAAGGUAGCACCUUUAUAGGUGUGUUAUAGUCUCUUGUCGCAUGCGAGGGUCGGGAUUGAGGAACUCAGCACGCACCUCUCGGUGUCGGGGCUUCGGCCCACGCUACGUGCUUAGGAUGCUGGCGUAAUGGCUUUAAACGACC
rnacentral:rRNA from 1 species